AUGAUGAUGAUGAUGAUGUUUGGUGAAGCUCCUCCCUCUUCAUCCUCCUCAGUGUCUUAUAGCUCCUCUCUCAUCUCUCUCCUCACAUCACACACUGACAUCAUGCUGAUCAUCUUCAUCAUCUUCAUCAUCACACCAUCAUGUGUGAGUGGAGUGACUGUAGUGACCCAACCAUCAGAGCUCACGGUGAAUAAAGUAAAUAAAGCCACAAUCAACUGUAAUCUGGGAUCUGUUACUGAUUCAGCUGCUCGAUGGUAUAAACAGAUUUCAGGAGGAGUUCCUCAGUAUGUGUUAAGAUUUUAUCAUGGCGAUAGCUCACCUUACUAUGGAUCUGGUUUCUCUGCUCCUAAAUUCACAUCAACAUCUUCAUCUAAAUCAGAUUAUAGUUUGAUCAUCAAUAAUGUAGAUGUGAGAGAUUCAGCUGUGUAUUACUGUAAGACAUGGGACUACUCUGCUAAGGAGUACGUAUCACAGUGAUUCACAUCAUGACAAAAACCUCCUCACUGUUCACAGUCACUUCUGCU